UUGGAGGAUAGCUCAGUUGGUAGAGCGUGAGAUUCUUAAUCACAGGGUUGUGGAUUUGAGACCCACACUGGGCAAAA